ensembl:lncRNA
CCGCUUAAACGUGUUUGUUACUUUAGAUUGUCCAAUUACGUUUUAGAUCGACCGUCUCCAUUCUAACUAAUGGACUACAGUUGAGCCUAACAGAUGUCGCUGGUGUUCAUAACUCUCUCCUCAGCGUGUCAUUGAAACAGGCUUAUAUCACUGCCAUAAACAUCAAACAAAGUAUUUAUUUCGGAAGCAUAUUAUACCCUUAAAUCAAACUAGCUAUGGCUGAUACCGCAGUAGAGACGACCACAACCACCGAGAUUUCAGCAAAGGAGCUUAAAGAGAAGAAAGAGGUUGCCGAGGAGAGGAUGCAGAAGAAGAUGCAGAAGAAGCUGCUGAUGAGGAGGUUGACCACCCUGUGAAGCGCCCAGCUGAGGAGGAGGAACAAGGGGAAACAAAAAAACAGAAAACAGAAAACGAUGACUCAAAGGAAGCUGAAGUGGAGGCCUAGAACACUCCGUCUGUACUCUUCCGCAGCUCUGUCUACAUGACGUUGUCAACUUUACCUUGUAGAGCUUGUGCUUUAUGUAUGUUUUACAGAUUUUGUUUGCCCCCAAGAUAUUACAUUGCACUGGAGUCCUUAAACAUAGUGGCCUCCUCCCUUUUUUUAUAAGAUGUUAUUUAUUGGUUUCUUACGCAAAAAAAACUUGUGCAAAUAGGAUCCAUGCUGUUUUAUCAGUAUGUUAGUUUGUUGUUGUUACUGCUGACCAGUUGAUUCAGGCAGGCAGCUGCACCCUUCUCCACAUUUUCAAGGUGACCUCAGACUCACUAAAGACCAAAGAUAAGUUUUAAGCAGGGGCUAAUGGACUAUUGUUAGCAUUAUUAGUUCAGGCUUUUUUAAUACCUUUUGUUUAGUGCUGCUGCUAGUAGUUAAUCCUUUGUCUGACUGAUCUGUUAACACAACAAUGGCACAAAUAAAAGAACACCUCCGUGAUCAAAGAUGGCUUGAUCCUGUUUAGGGGUCUGGCUUCUGCAAUGUUAAUUACCCCCUGUUAAUUCUUAAGGCGUUGGUCAUAUGUUUUGUAUGCAUUUUAAAACAAGUUUGUACCCAAGAUACUGUUUUUCUGUUUUAUUUUCAGUUAUUUUUUUGUCUGGUUGACUCAAAUUGUCUAUAAUGGUCUAUAUCAGAACAACAUUCCCAACCUAGUGUUCUUUCUCUUCUAGUGCAGUUAUAUUUCAUGAUUGCUAUUUGGUUGCUUCGGCCACUGCUUUGUAUAUUCUGGUUGUUGAUGAUUAAAUAAGUCAGUCUUGUCUUUUUAACCAUGGUGUUUUGUUUUUGCAUACGCUGUAGUUAAAUGUGCUGGAUAUUUACCUGUUUAAAGGGCAAUUCUGCCACUUUUCAACCUCUUAUUCUUGAUCUCCAGUGCCAUACUAGUGUCUACAUAUCUGUAAACGGUACUUUUCCAUGGUCUGCGGUUAAGAUCCUAAAAAGCGCUUCUCUGUGACAUCACAGGGUAGAUUUCAAAGUAAAAAAUGUAAAUGUCAAACCCUGCCACGAGUUUCUAGCCAUAGAGAGGAUAUUUUCUUGCUCUCAGGGUUUUAAAAAUCAUUGCUUUAACUUGAUAUCAUCGGGUUGAAUUUUGUAACUUUUUUCCUACAAAACAGAAAUGCGCUGUUAAACACAUGUAGACACUGGUAUUGUGCUGGAGAUAAUGAAAAUGAGGUUAGUGGUGGAAUUGCCAUGUAAGAUGCUUUACACUGUUAACACCAAAUUACAAUUGUGCCUAACACUAGUGUUAACAAUUAAAUAAGGGAUGCUUUCAGUUAAAACAGUUCUAGCCAUGUAAAGUAUCUGAUGUCAGUUGACUUAAGGCAUAAGACGGAAUAUGGAUGGGAGUAAUUCCCAAGAUGAUUUUGUAACUGGGAAAGGGGUGAUUCUUGUCAUCUGGAUUUUGGCUUUUUUUUCUCCAUAGAACUACACUACACGUCAAUCAAUUGAAGUCCUGACGUGUUGCAGUUUAGACCCA